GAUGAAGAACGCAGCGUAAUGCGAUAAGUAAUGUGAAUUGCAGAAUUCAGUGAAUCAUCGAAUCUUUGAACGCACAUUGCGCCCCCUGGUAUUCCGGGGGGCAUGCCUGUUCGAGCGCCAUUUCACCACUCAAGCCUCGCUUGGUAUUGGGCAACGCGGUCCGCCGCGUGCCUCAAAUCGACCGGCUGGGUCUUCUGUCCCCUAAGCGUUGUGGAAACUAUUCGCUAAAGGGUGUUCGGGAGGCUACGCCGUAAAACAACCCCAUUUCUAAGGUUGACCUCGGAUCAGGUAGGGAUACCCGCUGAACUUAAGCAUAUCAAUAAGCGGAGGA
rnacentral:misc_RNA from 1 species